rnacentral:lncRNA from 1 species
GUUCUUGAUGUGCUUUAACAAAGAAAACUAAAAACCUGACUGCUGAGGACUUUUAAAUGCCAAAAGCCUAAUGAUUAUCUUGCUGCCACCAUGAGAGCUCUUCCUUACCCUGGAACCAGGGCACAGGCAUUAGUCUUCUGUAACUGAGGUCUUGCCAUGUGGCUCCAUUUCUACAUGAAAGGCCACCUAGACUCUCUCCUCUGUAGUCUUUUACUUAACUUUGUCAGCACAGAUGUUGCAAACUAGUGAUCAAAGGAAAAGUCAUGGCUUAUAUUAAGAAAGUCCUCCUGAGGGAUCCCUGGGUGGCGCAGCGGUUUGGCGCCUGCCUUUGGCCCGGGGCGCGAUCCUGGAGACCCGGGAUCAAAUCCCACGUCGGGCUCCCGGUGCAUGGAGCCUGCUUCUCCCUCUGCCUAUGUCUCUGCUUCUCUCUCUCUCACUCUGUGCCUAUCAUAAAUAAAUAAAAUUAAAAAAAAAAAAAAAGAAAGUCCUCCUGAGUCCUCUGUGGUCAGGGCUAAUGGUAUAUUUGCAGUUCUGCCUGUCAGAAGCCUUGUGAAAUUUUAUCACACUGUUGUGACCCGAGUGUGGACUCUCCUGAAGGACCUAUGCCUCCUUCUUUGCUCAUUACUAAAACCUUAGAAACAACACGACUGACAAGUAGAAAGACACCUGUAGAAACCUUAAGGGAAAAAAAUUACCCUUUAUUGUUUGUUUUGCUUGGGAAAACAACAGAGGUCUCCAGUGAUGAGAUGGAGUGGUCUAUCAGUUUGGAAGAGUGACCAGGAAUGAUCUAUUUUUCUGUCUCCU